AGAGUUUGAUCCUGGCUCAGGACGAACGCUGGCGGCGUGCUUAACACAUGCAAGUCGAACGGUAAGGCCCCUUCGGGGGUACACGAGUGGCGAACGGGUGAGUAACACGUGAGCAACCUGCCCUUGACUUCGGAAUACCAGCUGGAAACAGCUGCUAAUACCGGAUACGACCUCUUCCCUCCUGGGUGGGGGUGGAAAGCUCCGGCGGUCAGGGAUGGGCUCGCGGCCUAUCAGCUUGUUGGUGAGGUAACGGCUCACCAAGGCUUCGACGGGUAGCCGGCCUGAGAGGGCGACCGGCCACACUGGGACUGAGAUACGGCCCAGACUCCUACGGGAGGCAGCAGUGGGGAAUAUUGCACAAUGGGCGCAAGCCUGAUGCAGCAACGCCGCGUGCGGGAUGACGGCCUUCGGGUUGUAAACCGCUUUCAGUAGGGACGAAGCUAACGUGACGGUACCUACAGAAGAAGGACCGGCUAACUACGUG
rnacentral:rRNA from 1 species